rnacentral:rRNA from 1 species
UAGGGAAUCUUCCACAAUGGACGCAAGUCUGAUGGAGCAACGCCGCGUGAGUGAAGAAGGUUUUCGGAACGUAAAGCUCUGUUGUUGGUGAAGAAGGAUAGAGGUAGUAACUGGCCUUUAUUUGACGGUAAUCAACCAGAAAGUCACGGCUAACUACGUGCCAGCAGCCGCGGUAAUCGUAGGUGGCAAGCGUUGUCCGGAUUUAUUGGGCGUAAAGCGAGCGCAGGCGGAAGAAUAAGUCUGAUGUGAAAGCCCUCGGCUUAACCGAGGAAUUGCAUCGGAAACUGUUUUCUUGAGUGCAGAAGAGGAGAGUAGAACUCCAUGUGUAGCGGUGGAAUGCGUAGAUAUAUGGAAGAAUACCAGUGGCGAAGGCGGCUCUCUGGUCUGCAACUGACGCUGAGGCUCGAAAGCAUGGGUAGCGAACAGGAUUAGAUACCCUGGUAGUCCAUGCCGUAAACGAUGAGUGCUAAGUGUUGGGAGGCUUCCGCCUCUCAGUGCUGCAGCUAACGCAUUAAGCACUCCGCCUGGGGGAGUACGACCGCAAGGUUGAA